rnacentral:rRNA from 1 species
UACGGAGGGUGCAAGCGUUGUCCGGAUUUAUUGGGUUUAAAGGGUGCGUAGGCGGCCCGUUAAGUCCGUGGUGAAAGCCAACAGCUCAACUGUUGAACUGCCAUGGAUACUGACGGGCUUGAGUGCAGACGAGGUAGGCGGAAUGGAUGGUGUAGCGGUGAAAUGCAUAGAUACCAUCCAGAACACCGAUUGCGUAGGCAGCUUACUAGGCUGCAACUGACGCUCAGGCACGAAAGCGUGGGGAUCAAACAGG